GACGAACGCUGGCGGCGUGCUUAACACAUGCAAGUCGAACGGAAAGGCCCCUUUGGGGGUCCUCGAGUGGCGAACGGGUGAGUAACACGUGAGUAACCUGCCCUUGACUUCGGGAUAACUUCAGGAAACUGGGGCUAAUACCGGAUAGGAAUCCUUGCUGCAUGGUGGGGGUUGGAAAGCUUCGGCGGUUUUGGAUGGACUCGCGGCUUAUCAGCUUGUUGGUGGGGUAGUGGCUUACCAAGGCUUUGACGGGUAGCCGGCCUGAGAGGGCGACCGGCCACAUUGGGACUGAGAUACGGCCCAGACUCCUACGGGAAGCAGCAGUGGGGAAUAUUGCACAAUGGGCGGAAGCCUGAUGCAGCAACGCCGCGUGCGGGAUGACGGCCUUCGGGUUGGAAACCGCUUUCAGCAGGGGCGAAGCUUGUGGUGACGGUACCUGCAGAAGAAGCACCGGCUAACUACGUG
rnacentral:rRNA from 1 species